GCAAGCUCAGUUGGUACAGCAUGAGACUCCGAAUCUCAGGGCCAUGGGUUCGAGCUCCACAUUGGGCA